ensembl:lncRNA uncharacterized LOC114797052
UCUUUCCCUUGCUGAGCGGAAAAAGACUGGUUUUCGUUUACCGCUGUCAAAGUAUGUCCCAGCCUGAACUUUUACCUGGUGUACAGUAUACUGUCAGAAAAAGACAGUGGAGCAUGAUUGGGGGUCAAAAUCAUGUCUGGUGGAGCAGAUUCAGGAGGUUUUCUAUGAAAAAAUGUGGCAUGGAGGGGAAAAAAGUGAUUUAUUUUUUUUCAGAUGCACUUCUUACUACUACUAAUAAUAAACAUCACAAAAAGGAUGGUUUACUCUGUUAUGUAAAUUGUUUUAUACUCUAUGCCUUUAAAAAAAGUUUUGGAAUUUUGCAAGCACCCAUUGAAACUAUUCCUUUUUAAAAAGAUGAAUACUUUUUGGUAUUGGCUUUAUUCUUUAUUAGUACACUAUUUAAAUGUCUCUUUUUAUGUCAUGACAUCGGACACCCCCCCCCCCCCCCCCCCCCCGGUGAAGUUUGCGACCUUGAAUACUGUAAAAUUAUGACACAAUUUCUAUGCUGUAUUUUAUUAUGAAACGCAUCGGAGUCCUCGCCUGCCUGUGUUUAUUACUAUUUAAUAAACAAAGUACGUCCACCACGAUGUAUUUUAUUGUUAAAGAUAUCUGGAAUGUGGCAAAUAAAUGUGUGCACAUUGUAGCGCGGCUGUGGUUCCUGUUCACGGCAAUCAUUUGUCAGACGGAGCACGCCCAUGGUGCGCCUCAAAAAUACCUCCGGAAGAGUACCACACCCAGCAAGGGGGGGGAGACAAAGGUUCCGGUGCUACCGGUCGGACGCCGUGGGCUCCGCAGACGGCAGAUAAGACCCGCGAAGGCGGCGAAACGUGACUUUCUUUUUGCAUUAUACGAUUUGCUCAUAACUCCAACCGCACAGCCGCUCACCCAUGACAAUUUAGCAUCUCCCCCCCGACAUGGCAGUCAGUGUCACGGAGCCGCUUUGUAAGCCCGCUAUUUAUCAUGCAACUUUUAAAGUGGAGCUGCAGGCGACGAAGCCCGUGUUGGCCGUCCGGCUGAGCGGCGAGCAGGUGGGGCUGGAGGUGCUGUGCCUGUGCGGCCAGCUGGAUCUGCUGAUCAGAGCUCAGUUGCGGGAGGAGCAGCUGAGACGAGACUCGUCUCCUGUAGAGGACGGUCUUUUCCGAAAGCGAGGAGCUGAAAUUAUAGACCAGAUGAACCAGUGCCUUGACAACCUGCCAAAACCCACGCCACUCCUCGAAGAUUAUUUGGAUAUGGUGGGACUGUCAACCAUAUUUCCCAGAGUGGAGGUGUUCAUAAUACAGGGAAGUCCUGUGGAUAUGCUGGAAAAGCCACCAGUAGAUGAUUAUUAUCCUCACAUCUCCAAACUAAACCAGCUGUUCGUGCUUUGUCAACACCUGGCGGAAGAUGUGAAGCACUUGGGAAGUCAUAAGUACAUAGCGCAUCAGCUUUCUGCUGUUUAUCAAGUUCUUUGCUCAUUUAGAGGAGUCUUACCACUGGAGACCAUAAAGAAAGAGAUUGAACACAACUUCAAGGAGAUUAAAACAUCUCUAGCAGCUGGGGAUGGGUCCAAACAUGAACCACAGCUUCCUAUCCAUCACGUCAACUGGUUGCUGGAAGUGACACAACGAGUGACAUCAACCGUUUCUUCGCUCCCCAAGGAACUCACUGAAGACCUCAGUCCCAUCAUGGAAUUUGUUACAAAUCUCACUUGAUGGCACUUAUUUAAAGGGUCUACAAGGAAGACAUACUUUUGUGUUUGUGUUGUACAGUGUAUUGCGGGGUGCAAUCGGAUUUCUUCGCCCCAGAGGAACCUGUCUGCUGUGCAGUUUUUUUCACUACAACGCAAUUAUCGCAAUUGGGUUGGAAUGCUCCCUUCUAAGUGAUUUAAACACGACUGCAUUCCAUUUCCCCUGAAAACAGACUGC